rnacentral:rRNA from 1 species
CAGUAGCCGCGGUAAUACGUAGGUGGCAAGCGUUGUCCGGAAUUAUUGGGCGUAAAGGGCUCGCAGGCGGUUUCUUAAGUCUGAUGUGAAAGCCCCCGGCUCAACCGGGGAGGGUCAUUGGAAACUGGGAAACUUGAGUGCAGAAGAGGAGAGUGGAAUUCCACGUGUAGCGGUGAAAUGCGUAGAGAUGUGGAGGAACACCAGUGGCGAAGGCGACUCUCUGGUCUGUAACUGACGCUGAGGAGCGAAAGCGUGGGGAGCGAAUAGGAUUAGAUACCCCAGUAGUCCCUGUCUCUUAUAC